AUAUUCACUUCUUGAGCAUGUUCACCAUGCAGAAUGCUACUUUUAAAAGGUAUUAUCUAUAUGUCCAAGGACCUCAAGAAAGCAUUUUGUUAGGAUUACAUUUAACUUUCCCGUUGUUCAGGAACCACUAAAAUUGUUUAGUUACUCCAUUUAAAAAAUCCAUUAAAAAUAAGAAUGACCAGUGUUACAAAACACUCCAUACAAAUACUGUAGAUACAAAUAUGAGUAAAAGACAUUAGCAUUAUGGUAUAAAAGAUCUAAUUAGUCUUUGUGUUUUAAUUGUAAUAUAUCUUUGAUAUGCUGCUAAAAAGAAAUUGAUCACAAGUAAUAAUGCAAUCCUCAUUAGUUACUUCUAAGCUGUGAUUGAUGUUUGAAAGAUUAUUUGUGCAACUUGGGUGUUUUAUUUUACAGGCAUCCUCCACUUAUUCAACACAUUAAGGAUAAGGGCACUGUCAAAAACCAGAAAUCCUGGAAAUGCAGAACCCUAUAUUGCAUUUUUGCUUCACUUAUCUGUAUUUCAAAUUGGGUAAACUUUAAUUGGGUUUUAUUUUAAUUGAUUUUGGAAGAAUGUAUAAUACAUCAAAUAUAACUUGCACAUAAUCUAAAGACACAGUUUGUACGUAGGCCUGUAGACAGGGUCUGUACUUUCAGUUUUUGAUUAUACACAUUACUUUGCCUUAGUUAGAAAGUCUGAACACUAGCUCUUCAACAGUGUUUAGACUAGAAGAGGAUGCUUUUUGUUAUCUAAUUACUGGUAUUUGAAUCAUUUUCAUAAUGUUUUUGUAUUGAUGAGAAUAAAUGACAGAUACCUGACAGAUUUUCCUAAACUGUCCACUCUAGCCUGAUCAUUGCCCAUUUUUAUUUUCAAUUAGAAAUUGAAAAUAAAUCCUAAUGAUGCCAUUGAUAUUUACUCUGAGUAAGAUUAGACACAAUGUUGUGAAUGCGCCUUCGGAGACUGUGAAUGAUAGUGGUGGGAUCAGGAGAGGAAGGAAAAACCCUCGCGAGGAGGGCUCGUUGGAGGAUUUGUUUAGGAAAAGGGUCAGGGAGACUGAUGGGGAGUCUUCUGAGGAGGAUUCAUGUGGGGAUCCUGAGGUGGAAAUGGAUGCUGGGGAACAGGUGUUAACGGAGGAAUUGGGCACAGACUGGGCACGGGCACCGGAGAUGCUUGGGGACGAAUCGGGGCCCAUGGAUACUGCUGAUGCUGGGGAAGCUUGGGUGUCUUCAGAAGCAGAUCCCACUUGGUCUGCUUGGAGGAGUGAAAGGGGGUCCACAGGUGUGGAUAGAGUUGGGCAUGGGCAGGAUGAUUGGGACUCUGAUGAGGAAUUCGGAACACCUGACCUAAGGGCAUUAGCUGUGUGGAGUUCUGAUUCAGAUUAAGAAGUUGAGACACCUGCUCUUUGGGCGUGGAUAGUUUGGAAGCCCAGGGAGACCUGGAUAUAUUGGGGUUGUUUGGCCAUUAUACCUUGCGUGUGGCAAGGUGUUGCUGGGCGCCAUUGGGUUUCCUGUGUGUGUUACUGAAGACUGGACUGGGACUUUGCAACGGAUCUGCUGUUCGCCCUCGUUGCUUUGGCUCUCUGUGCCAUUUCGUGUUGUGACCUUCUUGGAUGACUUCAACCUCUCGGACCUUGGACUGGAACUUGACUCGGCUUUGCUCUUCGCUCUCAAUCUGUGGCUUGACGUCGUUCUCUAUUCCGUGGCUGUCUGCUGUUGCUGACUACUACCUUCCCUCCUGAUACCAAUGCUGCCUGCUUAUCCCGACUUCGGACCGGCUUGACGACGUUCUCCCGCUCUGCUCCUUUAACUCCUGGCUUGGCGUUUGCUUCUGCAGCAGCUUGGCGCUGCUGGUUUAUCCCGACUUCGGACCGGCUUGAUGACGCUUUCCCGCUCUGCUACUUUAACUCUUGGUUUGGUGUAUGUUCCAGCAGCGGUUGCUGCAAACUCUCCAGCGUCUCGCUGUUUCGCUGGCUUUGCUGUUCUCAACUGGGAGUUCCCUAGCUCAGUUUGGGCGUUUGUUUUGAACUCCUAUUUGUACUUUUGAGUUUUGGGAAAGGUUUGUGGGCUUCAAUACUACUUGCUUUAGUUCAUGCCUCUGUUUUUCAGCCCAUUGUGAACUUUUGGGUCAAGUUCUAGAACUUUAACCCGGAUUAUAUCUCUGGCUAAUCCGGAUUAUUUGCCAGUUUUUGGGGUUUUGCCCGCUUGUUCUACUUAAUAACACUGAAAGUUAAGUGUUUUAAGUCUUUUUAGUUUGUUGAGCUAUUUUUUGGACUGUUGCUUUAAUAAACUCUACUUUGCUCUCUAAUUGGCGUCUAACUUUUGACACACAAUUGCAGUGUAAUAACUAUAAGGUAAUCUGAGAUGGACCAUCUAAUGACCCAACAAACUAAUCUGUUUAUCUUUGUCUAAUUGGUGGAUAAUACUCCUGUUUGGAUGUGGAAGUGGGAAUAGUUUGCAUCACCACACCUGUUUUGGGAUGCAUUCAUUCAAUUAUUAUUAAAUUAAUUUUGAGAUAUGAAAUUUAAGACAUUCGGUAUUUAAAGGCAUAGUAGUUUGAGUGUUGGGCUAUGGUUCUGUUAACUAGGCUUAAAAUCACUGCUCAGCCAUGGUAACUUACCUACUGGGUGACCUUGUCCAAGCCGCACUGUCUUUGCCUCAAAGGCAGGCAAAGGCAACCGCCCUCUAAACAAUCUUCCAAAAAAACAAAAACAAACCCAAAACAUGAUAGGAUCAUCAUAAAUUAGAAACAGCCUUUUUAAAAAAUUGUGUCAGAAGCGAACAUACUGCAAGUAGCUUCUGGUGUGAGAGACUCGGCUAUCUACAAAGACGUUGUCCAGGGUACGCCCUGGGAGAUUUCUCUCAUGUCCCCGUAAGCUCAUACCGUUCACGGAUUCGAAUCGCUAACCUUCAGGUCAGCAGUUCAACCGGCACAAGGGUUAACCCAUUGCACCACCAUGGCCCCUUCAGAAACUACCUGAAGGCACAGAACAACAACAAAAUUGCAGUAUAUUAUUAACUACCCCAAAUGUCAUUACUUAAUUGUUCAAUUCAAUCCUCCUUUUGUUUUUUGGCAAUAGUAUAAUUGAUUGUGAUUGAUGAACACUUUCAUAAGUACUGAAAAACAUUUUCUUAAAUUUCUUAAAUUAUGUACUGAUUUUUAAAAGUAAAUGUGCAUUCUGCCUCCAUGCUUAACUAAAUGAACUGGAAGGACCCAUAGCAAGAAGGACAGAUUGGAGACUGUAGUUGGUGAAACAAAAUAUUUUAUUAAUAGACAAAAUUGAUCUCUUUUCCUCUUGUUGCCACUAUGAAUUCUCUUGUGAGGAAAGAAAUCUUUGAGUCUAUGCAGUUCUGGAUAGAUAUUGCCACAGAGUAUAAAGUCUUGUUAUGACUGGAUUCUUUGUAUCUUUGAGAUGACUUCAAUGCAGUGUUGACAUGGCUUUCUCUAUUGCUGUAGUCUGUGGCUUUUUAAUCUAAUUUGAAUACAGUUCCAACGUGACGUGAA